AGUUCUUUUUUUUAGCUGUUAAUAAGCACAAUUUUCCAUUGUAUUAGCAUUUGUUUACCUAAAAUGAUUUUAUUCUUUCAAUUAUAUAUACCACUUAAUAGGUAUUGUUUCCUGCUGUUUCAUAGUUUUGUAAUAGUAUUUUACAGAGCUAGUGACCAUCUGACUAAGAAUAAACUAUUUUCUGUGUUCUAUCUGCAUUCAGUCAUCACAGGCAAAAUUAUUUUAAAAGUGGGCAAAAUUCAUCUUUCUGACCUCAAUCUUUAAAUAUAUAGCAAAGAGUAUGUAAAGAAUAGGAAAAAGUGGCUUUCGUCAUUAACUUUUUAAGUUGUUGAGAAUUCUUUUUAUAAAUACAGCUCGGCAAACUUCACUUUGUAACAGUACAUCCAUGUUAGAAUGCUAUGGAUUUUAAUUCUUCUAGCUAAAGGAGGUUUCAGAGCAGGCACAAUUACAGAAAUGUGUUGUGAAUUUUUUAAUUAAAAAAAAAAAAGAAAAGUAGUUAUAGUUCACUGUAUAGAUCAUCUUCUGUAAUUUUGACCCAAAUCUUAAAAUAAUUCAGAAAAAAAUAUUGUACCAAGUACUCUUGAAAUACACAUCCGUUGAGUCUACAUGGAUUUUGAAAGAGCUAUUUCAAAUUUGUGGAGCGAGAACUGCACCAGGUUCUGUGUUCCCUUGUUGGCACAGAGAAAUCCAAACAUAGCUUGAAAAUGUUGGAACCUCAACUAAAUUGAAGGGCAAUUGAAGGAAAUUGAAGGGUAGUAUGAAACCGUGGGAGAGAGGCUCCAUGUGAUCACUUCUUAGGCCCCAUGGACCCAGAAAGAAGUAUCUCCAUUGUACAUGGGUCUGCAAAAUGGUAUAAAAGGAAAUACCUCUUCUCUUUAACAGUCUUUAAAACUUUUUUUGUUUACUUUUCUUUUAAUCUAAAUAUCAUGCUCAGAGCUACAGUCUUGAAAUCUUAACUACAAUUUGAAGUUCUCAGACAUCUAUAAGGUGCAUGUUUGUCUGGACAUGCAGUUUGAGCAAGCAAUAAUUGUUCAGAUGUUUUCUUUAUGUUGAUACUUUUUAGAUAUUUAUUCCUUACGUCCUGUCCUUGAAGGGGACACUGCUUCUCAGGCCCAGUCUACACUACAAAGUUAGGUCGUUGUAAGCCAUCUUGCAUUGACCUAGUGAUGCAUGUCUGUGCUUAAAUUUGUCUGCCACUGAUGGAUGUGCCCCAUUACAGCGGCACAGUAUCACCACCUCCUUGAGUGGUGUUGAGCCAUGUUUGAUGUACUGAGGUCAAUGCAACGCAGGUGUAGACACUUUGUUACUUAUGUCGACCCUAAUAGUCCUCCAGCAGCUGUCCCACAAUGCCCAGCACUGAGUGUUUUGGUUACAAUUGUGAACUCCACUGCUCAGGGUUACAGAAGACUGGAAGGCCCCACGCUCCUUUAAAACCCUGCAUAUUUUUGAAAUGCCUUUCCCAGCUCUCUGUUGUUGUGUGCCAUUGGGCAUGUUGGCUAUGCAGUCCAGAAGUGCUCUUGCCUGGAGUAGGCAGGAAAUAUUGAAUCUCAUUGGCCUGUGGGGAGAAGAGGUUGCACAAGCACCGCUACAGACCAGCUGUAGAAAUGUUGACAUUUGAGUAGAUUGCAUGGAGGAUGCAGGAGAAUGGGUAUGAAAGGGAUCAACAGCAGUGUUGCGCGAAAGCAAAGGAACUGCAGAUGGCAUAUCAGAAAGCCAGAGAGGCCAACAGACAAUCUGAUGCUGAGCCGCAAAUCUACCGCUUUCACAAAGAACUGCAUGUCAUACUUGGUGGAGACCCCCUUAUCCACCCUGCAUACCAGUGUGAAUACCUCUGAGGAGCCAAGUCACAGGCCCCUAGUGUGACCAGCAAGGAGGAGAAGAAGGAAGAGGAGGAUGGGGAAUGCGUGACUGGUAGGUCUAGCUAUGCCGUGAGCCAGUACCUGUUUGAUACUCUACUGCAAUCCAGUCAGUCCCGGCAGUCAAGCAUUGGAGAGCCUGAUGCAGGGAAAGGACCUUUGGCUACAGCUGUUGCGGCAAAUAGGGGUUCCCUCUGCAGAUCCGUGGAAUGCCUGAGCCAGAUAAGGUGAAAGAAGAGAACUUGGAAUUCCAUGUUCAAUGAGAUCCUGUAACCAGUGCUGAUCAGACCAUGAGCAAAGGACCUUGAAGGUGAAUACAGCUGGCAGCUUGGAGAAGGGAAGAGCCGAGAAGCGAGAAUCCCAGCAGGAAAAAAAGAGAGGGAGACCCAUUGAGACAUAAUGAGGCUUCUCCGUUGACAAACACAGAUGCUGCAGACUCUUGUGGACCUGCAGGGAGGGGUGCUGGAACUAGUGGUGCUGAGGGUGCAGCAGCACCCCCUGACUUGAAGUGGUUUCCAAUGGCUUUCAGCACCCUCACUAUAAAAAUUGUCCCAACACCACAGUCUGCACAUUCAACAAUCACGGGUUCGCCUCCCUUUGCAGUCCAUGGAAAACUCCAUUUCAGCAGCUUCUUACACUUUCUGCCACAUGGCAUCAGGACCUGCAUUUCUACCCCUACCACUUCAUACUAGGUGACAUUAAGAACACAGCAAGCUUCACAUAUGCUGACUUGUGAAAGCCACUGUUGAUGUAUGUGUAGGCAAAAUAGACAUGAAUGUUUUUUCCCCUUGUUAAGUUCUGUUUCAUUAAUAUAUUAAGUAUUUUGUAUAUUUGCUUUUAAAUUGCAGACUCCUUCCCCCCCUCACUGAUUUUGGUACUGAAUAAAAUUGUAUUAUUUGGAAAA